AGUGAACGCUGGCGGUAGGCCUAACACAUGCAAGUCGAACGGCAGCACAGUAAAAGCUUGCUCUUACGGGUGGCGAGUGGCGGACUGGUGAGGAAUACAUCGGUAUCUACUUUUUCGUGGUGGCUCACGUAGGGAAACUUACGCUAAUACCGCAUACGACCUACGGGUGAAAGCAGGGGAUCUUCGGACCUUGCGCGAUUGAAUGAGCCGAUGUCGGAUUAGCUAGUUGGCGGGGUAAAGGCCCACCAAGGCGACGAUCCGUAGCUGGUCUGAGAGGAUGAUCAGACACACUGGAACUGAGAAACGGUCCAGAAUCCUACGGGAGGCAGAAGUGGGGAAUAUUGGACAAUGGGAGCAAGCCUGAACCAGCCAUACCGCGUGGGUGAAGAAGGCAUUCGGGUUGUAAAACCCUUUUGUUGGGAAAGAAAAGAAGAAGGUUAAUACACCGAUGUUCUGACGGUACCAAAAGAAUAAGCACCGGCUAACUUCGUG
rnacentral:rRNA from 1 species